CUCCGGCCGGCCGGCAGGGGGCGCGCGCUCCCCGAGCUCCCGCGCACCGCGGAGAGGGCUGCCCCGGCGCGGGGAAGCAGUGAGACAACCGCAAGGAAGCCGGUGCACGUGCCGUAUGUGACUUGGCUUGGCUUCUCCUGAAAGCAGCGGCUGUGGGGAGUUGAUUCGGAAGUGAAGGGCCCUGGGCGACCCGGCGAGUGGAGCCAACACCAACCUCCUCCUUAGCGAGGGGUCUCCCCGCCGCGGUGGCUGCCCGGCCCCAAGGACGGGAGGGAUUUGUGCACUGACUCCUGACCCCGUCCUCCGGCGCUGCUCUGAAGGGAGAGUCUGUGCAGUGGCACCUGCGCGAAGCUGGCCAAAGCCUGCCCAGACUGCUCACCUGUGCGGGAUGGAACAAAAGCUUCUCCAGGAAAUGGAUCUUUUCUCCUCUGAUCAUCCCAGGGCCAGGCAAAUGGAAUGUACUUGAACAUUCACUGGAUGGACAAAUGCGUGAAAUGAAGACACAAAUGCAGAGCUAGUAAGCAGUGGGCCAAGCAUCCUUCCAAAUGGAGAAUGACAUUAUGAA